rnacentral:rRNA from 1 species
AGAGUUUGAUCCUGGCUCAGGACGAACGCUGGCGGCGUGCCUAACACAUGCAAGUCGAGCGGGGAGGAGGGAGCUUGCUUCCGAAUCCUAGCGGCGGACGGGUGAGUAACGCGUGAGCAACCUGCCUUCUACGGGGGAUAACGCAUCGAAAGAUGUGCUAAUACCGCGUAAGACCACAGCAUCACAUGGUGCAGGGGUCAAAGGAGCAAUCCGGUAGAAGAUGGGCUCGCGUCCGAUUAGCUAGUUGGCGGGAUAACAGCCCACCAAGGCGACGAUCGGUAGCCGACCUGAGAGGGUGAUCGGCCACAUUGGAACUGAGAUACGGUCCAGACUCCUACGGGAGGCAGCAGUGGGGAAUAUUGGGCAAUGGGCGAAAGCCUGACCCAGCAACGCCGCGUGAGGGAAGAAGGGUUUCGGCUCGUAAACCUCUGUCCUAUGGGACGAAGGAGUGACGGUACCAUAGGAGGAAGCCCCGGCUAACUACGUGCCAGCAGCCGCGGUAAUACGUAGGUGGCAAGCGUUGUCCGGAUUUAUUGGGUGUAAAGGGCGUGUAGACGGGACUGCAAGUCAGAUGUGAAAUUUAUGGGCUCAACCCAUAACCUGCAUUUGAAACUGCGGUUCUUGAGUGAUGGAGAGGUAAGCGGAAUUCCUAGUGUAGCGGUGAAAUGCGUAGAUAUUAGGAGGAACACCGGUGGCGAAGGCGGCUUACUGGACAUUAACUGACGUUGAGGCGCGAAAGUGUGGGGAGCAAACAGGAUUAGAUACCCUGGUAGUCCACACUGUAAACGAUGGAUACUAGGUGUGGGAGGUAUCGACCCCUUCCGUGCCGGAGUUAACACAAUAAGUAUCCCACCUGGGGAGUACGACCGCAAGGUUGAAACUCAAAGGAAUUGACGGGGGCCCGCACAAGCAGUGGAGUAUGUGGUUUAAUUCGAAGCAACGCGAAGAACCUUACCAGGGCUUGACAUCCCGCGCAUAGUCUAGAGAUAGAUGAAGUCCCUUCGGGGACGCGGUGACAGGUGGUGCAUGGUUGUCGUCAGCUCGUGUCGUGAGAUGUUGGGUUAAGUCCCGCAACGAGCGCAACCCCUAUUGUUAGUUGCUACGCAAGAGCACUCUAGCGAGACUGCCGUCGACAAAACGGAGGAAGGUGGGGACGACGUCAAAUCAUCAUGCCCCUUAUGUCCUGGGCUACACACGUAAUACAAUGGUGGCCAACAGAGGGAAGCAAAGCCGCGAGGCGGAGCAAAUCCCUAAAAGCCAUCUCAGUUCGGAUUGCAGGCUGCAACUCGCCUGCAUGAAGCUGGAAUUGCUAGUAAUCGCGGAUCAGCAUGCCGCGGUGAAUACGUUCCCGGGCCUUGCACACACCGCCCGUCA